rnacentral:tRNA from 1 species
GCUUUCAUAGCUUAUAUAUUUAGAGCAUAGCACUGAAGAUGCUAAGGAGGCAGACAUUUGCCUGAAGGCA